rfam:Ornithorhynchus anatinus chromosome 3, whole genome shotgun sequence.
CCCCUCUCCGGGUCGCACCUGGAUAGUUUCCAGUACUCUAUCAGUCUCGGUUACAGGAGGGAGAGUCAGGCAGAGGCCUACCCAUUCCAUUCCUAGCUUGGCCAGUGGCUAGUGAGUGGAAGGCAAUCUGCUACAAGU